AUGCUCGUCGGCGCUGCAACGGAGCUCGCCAGAGCUUCAAUGAAGCGCUCGUCGGUGCUCCCUCCCGGCGCUGCAACGGAGCUCGCCGGAGAUGUAAUGAAGAGCUCGCCGACGCUCCCUCCCGGCGCUGCAACGGAGCUCGCCGGAGCUGCAAUGAAGCGCUCGUCGGCGCUCCCUCCCGGCGCUGCAACGGAGCUCGCCGGAGAUGUAAUGAAGAGCUCGCCGACGCUCCCUCCCGGCGCUGCAACGGAGCUCGCCGGAGCUGCAAUGGAGCGCUCGUUGGCGCUCCCUCCCGGCGCUGCAACGGAGCUCGCCAGAGCUACGAUGGAGCGCUUGCCGGCGCUCCUCCUGGCGCUACAACGGAGAGCUGUAAUGAAGCGCGUCGGCGCUCCCUCCCGGCGCUGCAACGGAGCUCGCCAGAUCUACGAUGGAGCGCUUGCCGGCGCUCCUCCUGGCGCUACAACGGAGAGCUGUAAUGAAGCGCGUCGGCGCUCCCUCCCGGCGCUGCAACGGAGCUCUCAAUGGCGCUCUCAGAGCUGCGAUGCAGCUCCCGACGCUGCAAUGGAGCAGUCGUCGGUGUUGCUUUGA
rnacentral:rRNA from 1 species